GGGCCCGUAACUCAUCGGUUAGAGUGCCACCCUUAUAAGGUGGAAGUAGGUGGUUCGAUUCCACCCGGGCCUACCA
rnacentral:tRNA from 1 species